CUUCCUCCCUCCCUCUCUCUCCCAUGGUAGGUAGCAUCCACACAAAGUCCUCCCCCUUUAAGUCACAGCCCUGGCCACCUCCUAAACUUGCCCCCCGCCCCAGGUUCCUCACCUAAAGGGACUCAGCUCUUCCUGCCAUAUUAAUACACAGAAAGGAAAACAGAGGUUCAAGUGUCCAAGCCCAGGCAGGAAACUGGGGUUGGAGGUUAAAAAGGGUGAAGUGUACAAGGUCGGCGCUGGACAGAGGCGCCGAUGGAAGGGGUGUUAACUGGAACUGUGUGUAACUUAUAUUGCAUCUAUUCUUGUUUGGACCUGUCCCUUCCAGACAGAUGUUCCUGUUGUGUGGGGCCUCCUAGAAUGUUCUGUGGAAACCCUACAGAUGCUCACUAAUGUGCAUGAAGUGGUCCCCAUCAGUUACCUCUUCUCUUAGAAGAAGCUUGGACUUGCCUGUGCUUUCCAGAGCUCCCAAGAGCAAGGGAGGUCUCUGCUGACCCUGGGAACACUGGUUUACAAGUGUCCUUUUGGGGGCCCUGGGAUCCAGAACUACAUGGUCCUCUGCUGAAGAUCAGCCACUGCUUGCGGGAGACUCUUCUAACCAAUGGUAAAUUAGAAUGACUCAGCUUGAAGCCAUCAGAGGUGGCUGUGGAGAUGGGGCUCAGCCCUGCCCACUGGUGUCUGCUCCAGGUCUGAACCAAGUGGAGGGGACAGCAAUGUCACCCCACCCCAGAGCAGCUCCUGGAGGGGCUGGGAACCACAACAGCUGCAGCCACCCCAGCAGCAGCUCACGUCCCGGUGUGUACCCUAGGAGAACCUGGCUUGUUGCCAAAGCCACGCAAUGGGCCCCAGGAACAGGAGCCCGAGGAACACAGGAGCCGCUGCAAGGGCAGACUGGCUGCAGCGGCAGCAGCUGGGGCACAGGCACGUCUUCCCUGCAUUCCACCUUUGCCUAGGCUCUGACUUGGCACAGUGAUCUUAGUAACAGAGGCUCCUGGAAGACAGUCUCUUCCCCAAGGCACAGCUGGGCUCAGCGUGAGGCCGCCACUACUGCUCUGACUGUCUUCCAGGAGCCUCUGUUACUGAGAGCUGAGUUUUCCCCAGAGGCUCCCAAGAAAUGAUCCCUUGGGUCUUCCCCAAUGCAUACUCCAGGCAGUGUGUGCUAAGCCAGGGAACAAUCCCCACCAAACUAUCAGGCAUUGGGAGCAAGGGGUUUCAGGAAGCACCUAGGGUAUGCGGUGGCCUCAGCAGUCAAGGACAGAUGGGGUGUGCAGGGGGAAGAGGGAACAUCACCCCUCCCCCACCUUGCACAGCAGGUCAUCUGGCUAUACCCACUUAUAGGAGAGGUUUGCAGGGGCAGAGAAACUCACCUGCCCUUCGUAGCCCGGAUCCUCUGGGACAGUUAUCACCAGAGCCUCCAGGAGUCCCCUCAACAUGUUCUGACAGAUACCCAGAGGUGGGCAAUGUGGGCAGGCGAUUCUCAGGUGUUUCAGUGAACUCAGGCGGUGGAAAGCUGCACCCUCAGGCUCUGCAGUCAGGGACGGGAGGAGUCACUGGGAAGAGCAAGGAAGAAGCUCAGGGAGGCAUGCCUGUGCAAAGGCCCUGGGGUAUAUAUGUCAGAGCGUGGGAUACUCCCAUUGCCUAGAGUAGACCAUGGAGUGCGGGUGUGUGUGUGUGUGUGUGAGUGUGCACGCUCUCGGGGCUCAGCGUGGGUUGGAGAAGUGGGUGGGGGAGUUAUGCAAAGGCUCAGAGCACCCAGAGACCGGAUCGUAAUCGGUGAAGCAAUAAGUCCCAGCGCCUUGGUGAAUUAACCCAAGUCCUGGAAAGAAAUGGUGACCGUAUGAGGCCCGUGUCCAGGACAUGGACAUUUCUUCUCUUUGAGGGUGACAGCCACCAGCUCUCUCUGGCUCCCAUUGCAGG
rnacentral:lncRNA from 1 species